AAAUUGAAGAGUUUGAUCAUGGCUCAGAUUGAACGCUGGCGGCAGGCCUAACACAUGCAAGUCGAACGGUAACAGGAAACAGCUUGCUGUUUCGCUGACGAGUGGCGGACGGGUGAGUAAUGUCUGGGAAACUGCCUGAUGGAGGGGGAUAACUACUGGAAACGGUAGCUAAUACCGCAUAACGUCGCAAGACCAAAGAGGGGGACCUUCGGGCCUCUUGCCAUCGGAUGUGCCCAGAUGGGAUUAGCUAGUAGGUGGGGUAAAGGCUCACCUAGGCGACGAUCCCUAGCUGGUCUGAGAGGAUGACCAGCCACACUGGAACUGAGACACGGUCCAGACUCCUACGGGAGACAGCAGUGGGGAAUAUUGCACAAUGGGCGCAAGCCUGAUGCAGCCAUGCCGCGUGUAUGAAGAAGGCCUUCGGGUUGUAAAGUACUUUCAGCGGGGAGGAAGGGAGUAAAGUUAAUACCUUUGCUCAUUGACGUUACCCGCAGAAGAAGCACCGGCUAACUCCGUGCCAGCAGCCGCGGUAAUACGGAGGGUGCAAGCGUUAAUCGGAAUUACUGGGCGUAAAGCGCACGCAGGCGGUUUGUUAAGUCAGAUGUGAAAUCCCCGGGCUCAACCUGGGAACUGCAUCUGAUACUGGCAAGCUUGAGUCUCGUAGAGGGGGGUAGAAUUCCAGGUGUAGCGGUGAAAUGCGUAGAGAUCUGGAGGAAUACCGGUGGCGAAGGCGGCCCCCUGGACGAAGACUGACGCUCAGGUGCGAAAGCGUGGGGAGCAAACAGGAUUAGAUACCCUGGUAGUCCACGCCGUAAACGAUGUCGACUUGGAGGUUGUGCCCUUGAGGCGUGGCUUCCGGAGCUAACGCGUUAAGUCGACCGCCUGGGGAGUACGGCCGCAAGGUUAAAACUCAAAUGAAUUGACGGGGGCCCGCACAAGCGGUGGAGCAUGUGGUUUAAUUCGAUGCAACGCGAAGAACCUUACCUGGUCUUGACAUCCACGGAAGUUUUCAGAGAUGAGAAUGUGCCUUCGGGAACCGUGAGACAGGUGCUGCAUGGCUGUCGUCAGCUCGUGUUGUGAAAUGUUGGGUUAAGUCCCGCAACGAGCGCAACCCUUAUCCUUUGUUGCCAGCGGUCCGGCCGGGAACUCAAAGGAGACUGCCAGUGAUAAACUGGAGGAAGGUGGGGAUGACGUCAAGUCAUCAUGGCCCUUACGACCAGGGCUACACACGUGCUACAAUGGCGCAUACAAAGAGAAGCGACCUCGCGAGAGCAAGCGGACCUCAUAAAGUGCGUCGUAGUCCGGAUUGGAGUCUGCAACUCGACUCCAUGAAGUCGGAAUCGCUAGUAAUCGUGGAUCAGAAUGCCACGGUGAAUACGUUCCCGGGCCUUGUACACACCGCCCGUCACACCAUGGGAGUGGGUUGCAAAAGAAGUAGGUAGCUUAACCUUCGGGAGGGCGCUUACCACUUUGUGAUUCAUGACUGGGGUGAAGUCGUAACAAGGUAACCGUAGGGGAACCUGCGGUUGGAUCACCUCCUUA
rnacentral:rRNA from 2 species